AGUGAACGCUGGCGGUAGGCCUAACACAUGCAAGUCGAACGGCAGCACAGUAAGAGCUUGCUCUUACGGGUGGCGAGUGGCGGACGGGUGGGGAAUACAUCGGAAUCUACUUUUUCGUGGGGGAUAACGUAGGGAAACUUACGCUAUACCGCAUACGACCUACGGGUGAAAGCAGGGGAUCUUCGGACCUUGCGCGAUUGAAUGAGCCGAUGUCGGAUUAGCUAGUUGGCGGGGUAAAGGCCCACCAAGGCGACGAUCCGUAGCUGGUCUGAGAGGAUGAUCAGCCACACUGGAACUGAGACACGGUCCAGACUCCUACGGGAGGCAGCAGUGGGGAAUAUUGGACAAUGGGCGCAAGCCUGAUCCAGCCAUACCGCGUGGGUGAAGAAGGCCUUCGGGUUGUAAAGCCCUUUUGUUGGGAAAGAAAAGCAGCAGGUUAAUACCCCGCUGUUCUGACGGUACCCAAAGAAUAAGCACCGGCUAACUUCGUG
rnacentral:rRNA from 1 species